rnacentral:rRNA from 1 species
UACGAAGGGGGCUAGCGUUGUUCGGAAUUACUGGGCGUAAAGCGCGCGCAGGCGGUCUUCCAAGUCAGUGGUGAAAGCCCGGAGCUCAACUCCGGAAAUGCCAUUGAAACUGUGAGACUGGAGUACGAGAGAGGUGAGUGGAAUUCCCAGUGUAGAGGUGAAAUUCGUAGAUAUUGGGAAGAACACCCGUGGCGAAGGCGGCUCUCUGGGACGGUACUGACGCUGAGACGCGAAAGCGUGGGGAGCGAACAGG